UACGUAGGGUGCAAGCGUUAAUCGGAAUUACUGGGCGUAAAGCGUGCGCAGGCGGUGAUGUAAGACCGAUGUGAAAUCCCCGGGCUUAACCUGGGAACUGCAUUGGUGACUGCAUUGCUGGAGUAUGGCAGAGGGGGGUGGAAUUCCACGUGUAGCAGUGAAAUGCGUAGAGAUGUGGAGGAACACCGAUGGCGAAGGCAGCCCCCUGGGCCAAUACUGACGCUCAUGCACAAAGCGUGGGG
rnacentral:rRNA from 1 species